rnacentral:lncRNA from 1 species
CAAUUACCUUGCCGACUGAUAUCCAGAGGAGAAUAAUUUGGAAGACUGUUGUGGGUAUAACUGGGGUCUGAGAUGAUACCAGAGUUUUAGCAUUAUGCAAAUAUAUUAUACUCAAGAAAUACGUCACAAGGGAG